rnacentral:rRNA from 1 species
GCAGCCUGAAUCAGCAUACCGCGUGUGUGAGAAGGCCUGAGGGUUGUAAAGCUCUUUCAAUUGGAAGAAAAGUUACGGUUAAUAACCGUUAGCCUUGACGUUAUCUUUAGAAGAAGCACCGGCUAACUCCGUGCCACCAGCCGCGGUAAUACGGAGGGUGCAAGCGUUAAUCGAAUUACUGGGCGUAAAGCGUGCGUAGGCGUUUAUUAAGUCAGAUGUGAAAGCCCCGGGCUUAACCUGGGAACUGCAUUUGAAACUGGCCAACUUUGUAUGGUAGAGGAAAGUGGAAUUUCUGGUGUAGCGAUGAAUGCGUAUAUAUCAGAAGGAACAUCGAUGGCGAAGGCAGCUUUCUGGACCAUUACUGACACUGAGUACGAAAGCGUGGGUAGCAACAGGAUUAGAUACCCUGGUAGUCCACGCCGUAAACGAUGAACUAGCCGUGGGAGGAUUUACCCUUUAGUGGCGAAGCUAACGCGUUCGUUAUCCGCCUGGGGAGUACGGCCGCAAGGUUAAAACUCUAUGAAUUUGACGGG